rnacentral:sRNA from 1 species
GGAUUGCAGUGGCAAAGCUAGGCUAGGUCUUGGAGGCUGGUGUAAGGCGAUGCGGGUGAAGGCAGGAGGCUGAUGGAAAGACUGGGGGGAAGAAAAGCCGAAAUGGAUUCACGGUGCCUUGGAUGAAGGACGAGAGGGGAACUGCAAGCUCCUUCAACUGGUUCUGUCCGGUGAGAAGUGAUCAAGCUUGGGCUGACAAGAGGCUCAGGGAGCCCUCACGUUCUUUCGCUUUUUUACCUGCCAAUCAAACUGCUACAAGACAACACCCUGAUCUGGCAUGGACAUUCAUUGCAGUCACCUGGAGUCGCGGAAAUGACCAUGAUUGCCUGAACUUUCAUAACUUCUGUGGUUGCAGAAAAGAGAAAACCUGGACUGUGAGGGACAUUUUACUCCCUGACCUUUGGUUGGAGUGCAGUGGCGCGAUCUUGGCUCACUGCAACUGCCACUUCCCAGGUUCAAGUGGUUCUCCUGCCUCAGCCUCCUGAGUACCUGAAAUUACAGGCACCUGCCACCACACCCGUCUCAAUACCUUCACAGAUGUGAAGAACUAGCAACAAAAUGACUUAGACAGCAACGUGAUUCCUAGAGAAUGGCAAGACCAAUUCUUCAACUACUUCUUCAGCAUUUCUGAAACAGUUGGAAGAUGGCCCAUAGUGCUCUCUUAAUUCUUUGAUAAUUUGGACAUUGACCUUUCCAUUAUAUGACCUGGGCUUGUGGGCAUCAUGUCGUAAUGUGCCUGUUCAGACAUCUCCCUGUACCAAUAUGGAUCACUUGAAGAGACUCCUUUGCCUCCAUCAAAAAGGAUACAGUUGUGUAUCUCUUUCAUUUUUGUUUACAGUGCCUAAAAUUAUUUGAGCAGUUUUUCACCUCUUCUCUGAUAAACACCUUAUUAGUC